UACGUAGGGUGCGAGCGUUAAUCGGAAUUACUGGGCGUAAAGAGUGCGUAGGCGGACAUAAAAGUUAGAUGUGAAAUACCCAAGCUCAACUUGGGAACUGCAUUUAAUACUCUAUGUCUAGAGUUUAUCAGAGGGAAGUAGAACUCCAAGUGUAGUAGUGAAAUGCGUAGAUAUUUGGAAGAAUACCGAUGGCGAAGGCAACUUCCUGGGAUAAAACUGACGCUGAGGUACGAAAGCGUGGGGAGCAAACAGG
rnacentral:rRNA from 1 species